GAUGAACGCUAGCUACAGGCUUAACACAUGCAAGUCGAGGGGUAACGAGAGGAAAGCUUGCUUUCCUUGUCGACGACCGGCGCACGGGUGAGUAACGCGUAUCCAACCUGCCCCCAACUAGGGAAUAACCUUGCGAAAGUAAGACUAAUACCCUAUAAUUUCCUCAGAUGACAUCUGACGAGGAAUAAAGAUUUAUCGGUUGUGGAUGGGGAUGCGUCUGCUUAGCUUGUUGGCGGGGUAACGGCCCACCAAGGCAACGAUCAGUAGCGGUUCUGAGAGGAAGGGCCCCCACAUUGGAACUGAGACACGGUCCAAACUCCUACGGGAGGCAGCAGUGAGGAAUAUUGGUCAAUGGGCGGAAGCCUGAACCAGCCAAGUAGCGUGCAGGAUGACGGCCCUAUGGGUUGUAAACUGCUUUUAUACAGGAAUAAAGUUAGCCACGUGUGGUUAUUUGUAGGUACUGUAUGAAUAAGGACCGGCUAAUUCCGUGCCAGCAGCCGCAGUAA
rnacentral:rRNA from 1 species